rnacentral:rRNA from 1 species
GACGAACGCUGGCGGCGUGCUUAACACAUGCAAGUCGAACGGAAAGGCCCUGCUUGCAGGGUACUCGAGUGGCGAACGGGUGAGUAACACGUGGGUGAUCUGCCCUGCACUUCGGGAUAAGCCUGGGAAACUGGGUCUAAUACCGGAUAGGAGCCAUUUUUAGUGUGAUGGUUGGAAAGUUUUUUCGGUGUAGGAUGAGCUCGCGGCCUAUCAGCUUGUUGGUGGGGUAAUGGCCUACCAAGGCGGCGACGGGUAGCCGGCCUGAGAGGGUGGACGGCCACAUUGGGACCGAGGUACGGCCCAGACUCCUACGGGAGGCAGCAGUGGGGAAUAUUGCACAAUGGGCGCAAGCCUGAUGCAGCGACGCCGCGUGGGGGAUGACGGCCUUCGGGUUGUAAACUCCUUUCGCUAGGGACGAAGCUUUUUGUGACGGUACCUAGAUAAGAAGCACCGGCUAACUACGUG